UUAGAAAAAAUGGUAACACAGUCAAUCAACUAUAUCUAAUAGAUUCAGACAAAUGCUCAUGGAACUACCCAACUUAGUAUUCUAGAUAUACUCCUAGAAAUAUAAAUCAUGGAUAUAAAUGUUUACCAAAAGUUUAGAUAGUAAACAUAGUGAUCUAAAAGAUAUAAAAUUCCAAACCACCAAUCCCUUUUGCAGAUGACAUACUAUUU
rnacentral:lncRNA from 1 species